rnacentral:tRNA from 1 species
GGUGGGGUCCCCGAGCGGCCAAAGGGAGCAGACUGUAAAUCUGCCGUCAUCGACUUCGAAGGUUCGAAUCCUUCCCCCACCACCA